CCCGCUGAACUUAAGCAUAUCAAUAAGCGGAGGAAAAGAAACUAACAAGGAUUCCCCUAGUAACCGCGAGUGAAGCGGGAAAAGCUCAAAUUUAAAAUCUGGCGGUCUUUCGGCCGUCCGAGUUGUAAUCUGGAGAAGCGUUUAUCCGCGUUGGACCGUGUACAAGUCUUCUGGAAGGGAGCGUCAUAGAGGGUGAGAAUCCCGUCUUUGACACGGACUACCAAUGCUUUUGUGAUGCGCUCUCGAAGAGUCGAGUUGUUUGGGAAUGCAGCUCAAAAUGGGUGGUAAAUUCCAUCUAAAGCUAAAUAUUGGCGAGAGACCGAUAGCGAACAAGUACCGUGAGGGAAAGAUGAAAAGCACUUUGGAAAGAGAGUUAAACAGUACGUGAAAUUGUUGAAAGGGAAACGCUUGAAGUCAGUCACGUCUGCCAGGACUCAGCCUUGCUUCUGCUUGGUGUACUUUCUGGUUUGAUGGGCCAACAUCAAUUUUGACCGUUGGAGAAAGGCUGUGGGAAUGUGGCACCUUCGGGUGUGUUAUAGCCCAUGGUUGUAUACAGCGGUUGGGAUUGAGGACUGCAGCACGCCUUUAUGGCCGGGGUUUUGCCCACGUCACGUGCUUAGGAUGUUGGCAUAAUGGCUUUAAGCGACCCGUCUUGAAACACGG
rnacentral:rRNA from 1 species